rnacentral:rRNA from 1 species
GACGAACGCUGGCGGCGUGCUUAACACAUGCAAGUCGAACGGAAAGGCCCUGCUUUUGUGGGGUGCUCGAGUGGCGAACGGGUGAGUAACACGUGAGUAACCUGCCCUUGACUUUGGGAUAACUUCAGGAAACUGGGGCUAAUACCGGAUAGGAGCUCCUGCUGCAUGGUGGGGGUUGGAAAGUUUCGGCGGUUGGGGAUGGACUCGCGGCUUAUCAGCUUGUUGGUGGGGUAGUGGCUUACCAAGGCUUUGACGGGUAGCCGGCCUGGGAGGGUGACCGGCGACAUUGGGCCUAAGAGACGGCCCAGACGCCUACGGGAGGCAGCAGUGGGGAAUAUUGCACAAUGGGCGGAAGCCUGAUGCAGCAACGCCGCGGGUGGGAUGACGUCCUUCGGGUUGUAAACCGCUUUCGCCUGUGACGAAGCGUGAGUGACGGUAAUGGGUAAAGAAGCACCGGCUAACUACGUG